rnacentral:misc_RNA from 1 species
GAUGAAGAACGCAGCGAAAUGCGAUAAGUAAUGUGAAUUACAGAAUUCAGUGAAUCAUCGAAUCUUUGAACGCACCUUGCGCCCUUUGGACAUUCCGAAGGGCAUGCCUGUUUGAGUAUCAUGAACACCUCAACUCUCACGGCUUGUCCGUGAUGAGCUUGGACUUUGGGGGUCUUGCCGGCCUGUGGUCGGCUCCUCUCAAAUGGAUCAGCUUGCCAGUGUUUGGUGGCAUCACAGGUGUGAUAACUAUCUGCGCUUGUGGUUUUCCAUCAGAUAACCUUCAGUGAUAUGGAGGUUCGCUGGAGCUCACAAAUGUCUCUCCUUAGUGAGGACAGCUCUUUGAACGUUUGAUCUCAAAUCAGGUAGGACUACCCGCUGAACUUAAGCAUAUCAAUAAGCGGAGGA